rnacentral:lncRNA from 1 species
GCGGGAGCGCGCCCGGGCGGGCUGCCCCGCCGGUCGGGAGAGGGGGUGGGGAGGCGGCGAGGAAAAGUAAAGUGACAGCUGGGUCCCGCGCGCAGACUGGGCUCUGACGGGCCGGGCACGCGCAUUAAAGGGAAACGCCGGCUGGGGGUUAGGGGUUACCCCAAGACGGUGCAGGCAGUGGGACGAGGAGGCCUUUUACCCCCAUCCACCGCAGCCCUUGACUUCACGCUCGCCUCGAAGCUUUCGCAAUCGCAGACGCGUGGGGCUCGCAUGUACCCAAGACAGGAAAACUUCACGUUGGCCUGGAAACUUCUUCCAGGCUAAGCCUGAGUCUUCACCAGACACUGCAGCACGAAGGCCCUUCUGCCUUUUGGCUCGCCCUGGCCCAGAAUGCGCACCAGCCGGUAGAGAGGAGCUUCGGGCCGUUUAGCCCUGGGGCAAGAGAAAGAGGCCCACUGCAAUAUGCUGUGAAGAAUACAUAAGAAGUCAAACUGUUGACCUCUUUUCCCCAGCCCGUUCCAAAACUACAUCCCUGAGGAGUUGUGCACCUCUACGGAAAGUUCAGAUGAAAGAGCUAAUUCCCCUUGAUCUCUCUUCUUGUUCAGAGUGGAGGAAAAACAUAUACCAUCCCUUCCAUCAAUCCUCAGCAUAACUUUGCCAGGGACACUGGUAACAAGCUACUUUUACCUCAGAAGUUGGAGAGUAUCACUUGACCCACAUUGUGUAUGUGUAAAUAUCUUUAUUCAGUGUAUAUACAAUAUAUUCUUAAUUUGACUCUCAA